UUACCUACGGGAGGCAGCAGUGAGGAAUAUUGGUCAAUGGUCGGGAGACUGAACCAGCCAAGCCGCGUGAGGGAGGAAGGUACAGAGUAUCGUAAACCUCUUUUGUCAGGGAACAAAGACUGGGACGCGUCCCCGGAUGAGUGUACCUGAAGAAAAAGCAUCGGCUAACUCCGUGCCAGCAGCCGCGGUAAUACGGAGGAUGCGGGCGUUAUCCGGAUUUAUUGGGUUUAAAGGGUGCGUAGGCGGGAUGCCAAGUCAGCGGUAAAAAUGCGGUGCUCAACGCCGUCGAGCCGUUGAAACUGGCG
rnacentral:rRNA from 1 species